rnacentral:rRNA from 1 species
CAGUAGCCACGGGAAUACGUAGGGUGCGAGCGUUAAUCGGAAUUACUGGGCGUAAAGCGCACGUAGGCGGCUUGGUAAGUCAGGGGUGAAAUCCUGGAGCUCAACUCCAGAACUGCCUUUGAUACUGAAGAUCUUGAGUAUGGGAGAGGUGAGUGGAACUGCGAGUGUAGAGGUGAAAUUCGUAGAUAUUCGCAAGAACACCAGUGGCGAAGGCGGCUCACUGGCCCAUAACUGACGCUGAGGCACGAAAGCGUGGGGAGCAAACAGGAUUAGAUACCCCUGUAGUCCCUGUCUCUUAUAC